GUUUAAAAUGGUUCCAAAGUGCUUCCCACAACGGUCUAUAAGAAUCCAGCCUUCCUUAUCUGUGAGAACUUCCAUUCUACCACUGAACAUGGCCUUCAGCAUUGUGUCGUGCCUGGUCAGGACUUGCACUGUAGUGUAAUACAAGGAGCCCCCAACAUUUAGUCGCACAUACUUGUUACCAAGGCUGCCAACUUUGAAGCUACAAGUUUUAGGCUUGGGUCCCACAGCUGGACAAAGGGUGGUGGUUAGACAUGUGUCCCCCGACAUCUCCUUCUGUAGGUAGAUGACGACCCUGCAGAGCGUGGGCUUGAUGGAUUCCGCCGUGAUUGGCGAUGAGUCACGAGUCACUGGUUGAAGAUGG
rnacentral:lncRNA from 1 species